GCUAGUUUAGACCCCGUCACUAGAUCAUUUUUAAAUAUGUUGAAAAGCACUGAUCCCAAUGGUGAAAACAGAAAGAACAGGGCAGCUCCGCAAGCACCAAAAUUCAGUCAAAUGGACUUGCUGCCAAAGAUGAAAAACUAAGGAAGUUGGUAUACUUACUUCUGCAGAGAAAACCAGCUUUUCAUUUCUAAGCCAACCCCCCUCUCCCUUCAUUAUCACCAUGAAAACAUUUAUAAUUGAGGUCUACUGUACCUUGUUGCAAACCCCACAGUGGCUGAACUGUUCAGUCGCAAGGUGUAUUGUGUGCAAAAUGUAACUGUGUGAAAUGCCUAUUAAUAUAAAUACGUCCUCAAGAGUGAAGACAGCAUGAAGCAGACCAGCUCUUAACAGUUCAGCCUUGGGAUUUCCGUUUCAUUCUGGUGAAUUGUGGUCGUACGGGAAACAUUACCAGUAAAUCUCUUCAUUAAAAGUUUCUAUUGCUGUUAAAAACUAUAAUAAUUAGGUUAAAUCAAAACUCUAAUACACAUCGGCUUCUAUUAAAACAGGCACAUAUCCAGUAUUAAAUUCAUUAGUGGUCUUGUUUACUGCCAAAGAAUUCAGACCAGUUUUUCCCUAUAGAGUUGGCACAUAUUAGUCCAUGUUAAAAUGUAAAGGAUAAAGCAUCUCCAAAUAUAUUUUUUUCUUCAGUUGUGACGCCACACAAACAUGUAACCAAACCAAAAUCCAUCAUAUUGUAGGGCAUGGGGAAGGGAGGCAGGAAUUUGAAUCAAACAAUUUAUUUAAAGAGAACCAUUUUAUACUUUUCUAGGAGAUUCUAUUUCAGUUUAGCUAUUGAGUGCAACAUUUUUACCAAUGCCUACAAGAAAGAUACUAUGAGACAACUGUAUUAUCAUAUUAACCCAGCCAUCUAAAAUGCUCAUAGAAGCUAAAGAGACAAGGACCAACUUUGCCUCCCCAAGUGCAGAGAGCAAUCUGCUCCUCCUCCCCACCCAGAAGCAGAUUCCUGCUCACAGCUGGGAAAAUGAAGUUGGCUCAGUUAAAGAUGCUUCUUCACCCACCUUUUCUCUCUGAUAUUCUGGGGCCAAAAUGGCUACAACAACACUACAUACAACAGUGGAGGCUAAGUCAGACAUGAUUCAUUUUCUCCUUAUAUAAAAUAUUGCAAGUGACAGAAACUAAAAGCUACCUACUGGCAGACUGAUGUGGGGAAGGAAAUUUCAGAGGAAUCAUGGGCACAAAUACAGAAUCAUCAUGCUCAAUAUGGAGAACAGGCAAAAUGUUAUUAAUUUCUGUUCCAGUGGGACAUCAUACAUUCUGAUGAGUCUAUAACACUGCUUUGGGGGAUG